rnacentral:rRNA from 1 species
GCGGAGGAAAAGAAACGAACCAGGAUUCCCUUAGUAACGGCGAGCGAACCGGGAAGAGCCCAGCGUGUCAAUCUGGCCCUUCGGGGUCCGAGUUGUGGUCUGGAGGGCGGCGCUCCGCGCGGUCCGAUCGCCAAGUCCGCUGGAAAGCGGCGUCGAAGAGGGUGACAACCCCGUGGGCGAUCGGCUUCCGCGCUUCUCGAGCCCGUUCCGCGGAGUCGGGUUGCUUGGGAAUGCAGCUCUAAGCCGGUGGUAAAUCCCAUCGAAGGCUAAAUAUCGGCGGGAGACCGAUAGCGAACAAGUACCGUGAGGGAAAGAUGAAAAGAACUUUGAAAAGAGAGUCAAAAAGUGCCUGAACUCGUUGAGAGGGAAGCGACGUGGACUCGUCGAUCCUUCGGGGGCCGAUGGGCCGCUCUUUGCGGCCCUUGACGCCCCCCGAGAGGUCAGCGUGGGUUGGGCGCCGCGCACAUCCCCGGAAGGCCGCGUGCCUCCGGGCUUGCGCGUC